CCAGACUCCUACGGGAGGCAGCAGUGGGGAAUAUUGGACAAUGGACCAAGAGUCUGAUCCAGCAAUUCUGUGUGCACGAUGAAGUUUUUCGGAAUGUAAAGUGCUUUCAGUUGGGAAGAAAAAAAUGACGGUACCAACAGAAGAAGUGACGGCUAAAUACGUGCCAGCAGCCGCGGUAAUACGUAUGUCACAAGCGUUAUCCGGAUUUAUUGGGCGUAAAGCGCGUCUAGGUGGUUAUGUAAGUCUGAUGUGAAAAUGCAGGGCUCAACUCUGUAUUGCGUUGGAAACUGUGUAACUAGAGUACUGGAGAGGUAAGCGGAACUACAAGUGUAGAGGUGAAAUUCGUAGAUAUUUGUAGGAAUGCCGAUGGGGAAGCCAGCUUACUGGACAGAUACUGACGCUGAAGCGCGAAAGCGUGGGUAGCAAACAGGAUUAGAUACCCUGGUAGUCCACGCCGUAAACGAUGAUUACUAGGUGUUGGGGGUCGAACCUCAGCGCCCAAGCAAACGCGAUAAGUAAUCCGCCUGGGGAGUACGUACGCAAGUAUGAAACUCAAAGGAAUUGACGGGGGCCCGCACAAGAU
rnacentral:rRNA from 1 species